CGCUCUGAGAAGCGUAGCUCUUCACUCGGUAGCUCUGUGUUUAUCUGAUCAAAGCUGCCAGAUGAAGAGCUGUGCUUCCAGGGCA
rnacentral:pre_miRNA from 1 species